rnacentral:rRNA from 1 species
CAAGUCGAGCGGACCCUUCGGGGUCAGCGGCGGACGGGUGANUAACACGUGGGUAACCUGCCUGGCAGACCGGGAUAACGCUUGGAAACGAGUGCUAAUACCGGAUAGUCUCUUGGACCGCAUGGUUCGAGAGGGAAAGAAGCUCUUGCUUCACUGUCAGAUGGACCCGCGGCGCAUUAGCUAGUUGGUGAGGUAAUGGCUCACCAAGGCGACGAUGCGUAGCCGACCUGAGAGGGUGACCGGCCACACUGGGACUGAGACACGGCCCAGACUCCUACGGGAGGCAGCAGUAGGGAAUCUUCCGCAAUGGGCGCAAGCCUGACGGAGCAACGCCGCGUGAGUGAUGACGGCCUUCGGGUUGUAAAACUCUGUCUUCUGUGACGAACAAGCCUGUGACUGGAAUGCUCAGGCCCUGACGGUAACAGAGGAGGAAGCCCCGGCUAACUACGUGCCAGCAGCCGCGGUAAUACGUAGGGGGCAAGCGUUGUCCGGAAUCACUGGGCGUAAAGCGCGCGCAGGCGGUCAUCUACGUCUGGGGUGAAAGCCCGGAGCUCAACUCCGGGACUGCCUUGGAUACGGGAUGACUUGAGGAUCGGAGAGGCAAGGGGAAUUCCACGUGUAGCGGUGAAAUGCGUAGAGAUGUGGAGGAACACCUGUGGCGAAAGGCGCCUUGCUGGCCGAUUUCUGACGCUGAGGCGCGAAAGCGUGGGGAGCAAAACAGGAUUAGAUACCCUGGUAGUCCACGCCGUUAAACGAUGAGUGCUAGGGUGUUGGGGGGGGUACCACCCUCAGUGCCGAAGCUAACGCAUUUAAGCACUCCGCCUUGGGGAAUACGGUUC